rnacentral:rRNA from 1 species
GACGAACGCUGGCGGCGUGCUUAACACAUGCAAGUCGAACGGUGAAGCGCCUUCCUUUUUGGUGGGUGUGGAGGAGUGGCGAACGGGUGAGUAACACGUGAGUAACCUGCCCCCUUCUUCUGGAUAACCACAUGAAAGUGUAGCUAAUACGGGAUCUUCUGGGUCUGUCGCAUGGUGGGUCUGGGAAAGAUAUUGUAUCGGUGGGGGAUGGGCUCGCGGCCUAUCAGCUGGUUGGUGGUGUGUUGGGCUAGCAAGGCUGUGACGGGUAGCCGGCUUGAGCGGGUGAACGGGAUCAGUGGGUCUGAGCCGCGGCCUAUACUCGGAUGGGAGGCAGAAGUGGUGAAUAUGGCACAUUGGGCGGAAGCGUGGAGCAGCUAUGACGCGUGAGCGAUGAAGGCGUGUGGGUGGUGACCCUCUUUCGCGAGUGAAGCAGGUCUGCCUCGUUUGUGGGUUGGGUGACGGUAGUGGGAAAAGAAGCGCCGGCUAACUACGUG